rnacentral:rRNA from 1 species
AGCGAACGCUGGCGGCAGGCUUAACACAUGCAAGUCGAGCGGACCUUUCGGGGUCAGCGGCGGACGGGUGAGUAACGCGUGGGAACGUGCCUUCCGGUUCGGAAUAACCCUGGGAAACUAGGGCUAAUACCGGAUACGCCCUUCUGGGGAAAGGUUUACUGCCGGAAGAUCGGCCCGCGUCUGAUUAGCUAGUUGGUGGGGUAACGGCCUACCAAGGCGACGAUCAGUAGCUGGUCUGAGAGGAUGAUCAGCCACACUGGGACUGAGACACGGCCCAGACUCCUACGGGAGGCGGCAGUGGGGAAUAUUGGACAAUGGGCGCAAGCCUGAUCCAGCCAUGCCGCGUGAGUGAUGAAGGCCUUAGGGUUGUAAAGCUCUUUUAUCCGGGACGAUAAUGACGGUACCGGGGGAAUAAGCCCCGGCUAACUUCGUG